rnacentral:lncRNA from 1 species
CUUGAAUUACCAAAGAAGGAAGUGCGUCUCCUUAUAAAUGUCACUUAAAUUAUCCAUACAAGGAAAUGCGUCUCCUUACAAAUGUCACCUGAAUUUUUCUAGAAAAUGCGUCUCCUUGAGAAGGAAGUGUGCCUCCUAGAGAUCUUGAAUUAUGAGUUUUACCAUGGUUUUGACUACCAAACCAGUGCAACAACAUUGCCUUUUGCAUUUGUAGAAAUGAAAAAUUACAGCCUUUGAUGUUUAGGCUCUGAAAUCCUUGAUCUGAAUGUAACAUGUGUUCCUGUUUCAUACAAAGAAAACUUGUUAGUUUAAAAACAUGGUAGCUGGUUUGUGGCUUUGGCUUUCGUGGAAAUUACUCUUGCCCCUAUUACAUUUAAUCUUGCUUUCAACCAUUAGCAUGUGUCAUUGAGUUGCUGCAUCAUUAACCCGAACUCAGAUUAUUUAAGAGCGACUCUGAAAUAGAUACAGUAUCUCUGCUUUGUCAUGUUUCUCAGAUAAACCCUUUGAACCUUAGUAUUUCCAUGAGUUCCCAGACUUAUCGGUAGACAAAACUUUUUGCAUGCCUUAUUUCGGCUCAGAAUCAUGUCUCUUACAUGUGUCGGCCUUUUGUCUUGCUUUGCACAAUUGAAGAAGCUAGUAGCCAAUUUUGAAGUCUUUUCUCAUUUGUUUUGACAUGGACUUGACUCAAAGACGAGAAAAAAAUAACAAUGAUUUUUUUUUGUUUUUUGGAUAACUGACUCAAGAAAGAUAAAACAAAAAUAAAGAGAAGAAAGAAAAGAAAAUGAAUGUCCCCAUUUGAAACGAAGAAACAACAAUUUAUCUAAAAAUGACAGUCAACUCUAAUGAUUAUACCAUGCAUUUUGGAAUAAGUUGCUUGAUCUUUCCAUCCAAACUUUUUACCAAUUGUUCUUGAGUUAAUGACCCUGAAAUUGAGUUACUUUCUUGGACCCAUUGCAUUCAGAGAGCUCAUUCGGCUAGCGGUACCUUGAAGGGUUUUGGCCAACAAGCCUCUCUCAUUUUUCUCUCAACUCACCAUCUCCUUAUGGUGUCUGUGAGAGUUUUUCACCAAUGAGGUUCUUAUUUUUAUUUUUUCUCAACUUACAGUCGUCUUACAGUACCCGUGAGGGUUUUCACCAAUAAGACUCUCAUUUUUAUCUCCUGAUUCCACUGAGGAAGACAAGUAGUUCCCAAAAUGCGUCAUCACACCCAUUGCAUGCUUAGCCUUAGCAUUUUCAAUGAUUAACCUGAAGGUCUUUCUUUGAUUAUAACUUGGAUUUUGGAUAGGAUUAGAAUGAAAGGAUAGUAUGGGGCCCAAACGACACUUAAAGUGGGGUAGGACUUACAACUUUUGGAAUCGACUCAAACAAUGAGGAAUAACUCAUGCCCCAGUUUCUUUUGACUUUGGAAUAGACUCAAACAAUGAGGAUUAACUCAUGUCCCGAAUUUUUGACUGGGCAAUUCUAAAUUGUUUAUUUGGUUGGACCGAGCCCCGAGUAGGGCAGCCUACGUAUCUCACCCCGAAAGAGGAGAAUCAGGUCAGGCGUAGUUCUAGCCGCUUGUUCUUUCACUUGAUUCUAUUUUUUUCUUUUGUUGACUCAUUUUCUCUUUGGGACUUUUCUGACUUUAUUUUUCUUGAUACUCAUCUUUUCUUUCUUUUUCGACACAUUUUUUUUUCGAAUUUUGUUCACUCUAUCUUAAUUUCAAAAGAGAGGUAUGAAAGAAAAUGACACUAAGGCCCAAAUGGGGUAAACAAAGGAUGACACAAUGUUUGGAUAGCAGAAUGAAAUGCCUUCGUCAUAUCAAUUCUUGAAAAUGCUAGUAAAUAGCAUGCAAUACGAAAGUGCACGAUCAAGAUCACUUAUGAAAUGUUUUACGACACUAACUUGCCCCGAGCAUGUGUGCCAUCUCUUUUUCUACACUUGCCCAGCAUAUAACUCCACUUUGUUGUACAUUCCUCAUGAUGAAGGACUCAUGACUUCGUGGAGCUAAUUUUCUUCCCGUUUCUCUUGAUAUAGGGAUCUCACGUCCGCUAUUUGACCUAAUUGGGACCUACUUUUCGAUCGAUGACCAAAUUGUUCUUGUGAUUCUCAAAAUAAUUGUCUUAACUUGUCACCAAAUAUCUUAGCACUCUAUCUAUUUUCUCAUAUGCUCUCUUUUCUAACAUUAACCCUUUGAUUCAAUGUUCAUGCUUAGACUGAAUUUUAAGAUUUGGCUGAAAAUUUCACUAGCAUAUCAUAUCACUAGAGUCAACAUAAAAUGUACUAUGUAAAGAAAACAAACAAACACACAUAUUUAAAACACAAAUAAAAAUGGGACACUUCAUUUAGUUGAAACAAAAGACUGAAGGGUUUGAACAUAAACAACAAAAGGACAAAACAAGAUAGAUCCCGAACUACAACCCUGAAAUAAUUCAGACAAUAGAAAAUAAAAUAAAACAAGCUACCAGACCUCUUCCUAGUAGGGGAGAUGGGUGACUUCUCAAUUGCUCAGCCUGACAUCUUUGCCACUGAUUUGCAUAUCAGCAUGACUAGAGCUUUCCUCACUGUCAAUGUUCUGCACAAUGAUUGAUUUAUCUUGAAUCAUCUUUUCAAUUUCUCUUUUCAAAGAACGACAAUCUUCAAUACUGUGAUCCUGAACAUCAGAAUGAUAUGCACAUCAUACAUUAGGAUCAAAACUUCUUGAAUGUGGGUCAGGAGUAUACCCAAGGAGAGGAGUGAUCAUGCCCUGCUGUACCAAUCUCUGGAAUAAACUUACAUACGACUCUCCAAUUGGUAUGAAGCUAUCCCUCGAUUUCUGUUUCAUUUCAUUAUUUGGCUUAAAUUGAACAGCAGGCCUAGAAGGGCUUCGGUAUGUAUGUGGAGUUGAAGGAUAACUUGGCAGAGUUGGCGCACGCCAGUAUGGGUAAGAUGGGAAUUGACCAUAGGGUUGUGCAUUAUAUAUUGGAUAUGUAGGUGGGGGAAUACAGUAUAAUGGAUUUUGGGAAAGAUUCUGUGGGGCUUGGACAUAAGCUUGGGUUUAAGCUUGUGGGUAACGAUGGUGUGGUCCUCUUGCCCGUACCUGUUGCCUAACUACAAUGGCAGAUACAUAUUCCUCAUACUUCUUUCCUCCGACACUUUCCAAACCUUUUUGAAUUGCUUGAGUAGUCGCUUUUAAUGUUGCAAAACUCACAAUGUGGUCGAUCUUAAUUCCAUCCUCUAUCAUCUCCCCCAUUUUGAGGACCUUAAUAAAUGGCUUGCCUAAUACAGGUAACAAGUGUUGAUAAUAUGUUUCAUCCUGCGCUUGAAUAAAUGCCUUCACUAUCUUAUUUUCUUUCAUUGGCGGUUUCACCCUAGCAGCUUGUUCACGCCAUCUAAUCGCAUACUCUCUGAAAGUUUCAGUACUAUUUUUCUUCAUAUUAGUCAGCGAUUUCUCGUCAGGAAUCAACUCUAUAUUAUAUUGAAAUUGUUGCACGAAUUCAUUAGCAAGGUCAUCCCAGCUGUUCCACUUGUCGAUGUCUUGGUCAACAAACCAUUCUGAAGCUAGACCUGAAAGACUCUCACCGAAAUAUGCCAUGAGUAAUUCUUCCUUCCCUCCAGCGCCCCUUAGUUGGUUGCAAUAUCGUCUCAAAUGUGCUACAGGAUCACCAUGUCUAUUAUACUUCUCAAACUUCGACAUUUUAAAACCAAGAGAAAAAUGUACACCAGGAAACAUGCACAGAUCUUUAUAUAAGACACUUUUGUACCCCCCAAGUCCUUGCAAGUUUUUCAUAGUUAGUUCAAAACUUCUCAAUUUUCUAGCCAUUUCCUCAUAUUCUUCUGUCAUAACAGGCUUCUCAGUAUUAAGAGGAAAUUCAGGCAGCUGAGGGCAGUCGUAAGAACCAGUCGACUUAAAUAGGCUCGGGAGCAUAAUGCAGAUCACUAAAAAUAUUCAAUACAGGGUCGCUUGUAGAGUGAGGAAUCACAACCGUUGGAUUGACAUUAAAAGCAGGAGCUUCAGACGGGAGAGAGGCUGCAAAAACAUGAACAGCAGACGGAGCCGAGCAUGUGGUAAUUUUGUAUUGAGGAGUGAGGAGAUGAAUAUUGGAAGUGUUUGGAUACUGUUGCCCUGGAGUAGGUCCUGAUACAUGUGUCGUGUCGACAAAAUAGGAAAUUGAGCAUGUGACACUGGAGGCAAACUAGAAAAAUAUUCCAGAUUAUCAGCGGGAGAUGGAGGAGGUGGCAACCCAUUAGCCCAAGCUCGAUGCAUUUCUAUCAUUUGCUGCCUUAAUUUUCGAAUCUCUUCAUUAGCUCCUAAAUUCUCAUUUCCCAAACUCCCUAUAGUUCGCGAAGUAUUGCCAAAAUGGCCAAUUAAACUUUUUUUCUCCACUUUUUCCUUUUUCUUGAAACUUUAAAAAGAAAAGAAAAUAACAAAUUGUCAAAAGAAUUGACGAAAUUUUUUUUUUUUUUGCUUUUUUCAGGUUUAACGUCCGUAUACAAAAUGGAACUUAUGAUUACCAAAGAAGAAUCUUUUUGGGUUUUUGAUUUUAAAUUUCAUACGAAAAUAAAAUUUGAACCUAUGAAAAUCUUUUUUGUAGUUUUCUCUUAAAGAUGUAUAUGAAACACCUACUCUAAAUGAAAAGUGAAGAAAAUCUUUUUGGAUUUUUCAGAUUCCUAUACGAAAUGAAACCUAUGAUUACCAAAGAAAAUCUUUUGGGUUUUCAAUUUUGAAUUUCAUAUUAAAAAUGAAAAUUGAAAUUAUUAAAGAAAGAUCUUUUUGCAGUUUUCUAUUAAAGAAGUAUAUGACAUCUACUCUAAAUAAAGAUUGAAGAAAAUCUUUUUGGAUUUUUUUAAAAUAAGAUCCCCGAGCCAACAAUAGGCUGCCUACGUAUCUCACUCCCGAGAGAGGAGAAUCAGGGGUGCGUAGUUCGUCCAAAUUGGACAACUUAUGAUUGAAUAACAAACUAGACCCUGACUUGAGAGACACGACUAAAGACAGACGAAUAAAAUCUUUUUUGGGUUAUUAAUUAGAAACUAACACCAACAACUAUGAAAGAAAAAAUCUUUUUGAUAUUUUCAUUAUAUAAGAUUGUACAAAGUUCCUAUUGAAAGGAAAAAAAUAUUUUUUGGAGUUUUCGAAUUGUGAAUACUUAAUAAAAGGAAAAUCUUUUUAACAUUUUUGAUUUUUGGAGCAAUGAGUGUAAAAAGUAAAUAUAUAUAUAUAUAUAUAUAUUAUUUAAAUUGUGAAAAACAAAAGUCAUAAAGAACCCUAAAAACUACCAAAUCUCUUUUUUUUUUCACUCUUUUUUUCUUCCUUUUUUUACAAUUUCCUGGCUACACAUUUUGCUUCUAACUCAUGCUUUUGCCCAAAUCAGUCUGCAAAAUGACCUUGUUACCCUCAAAGAUGCAACAUUUAGCACGUAGUGAUGCCUUAGAGGUGAGUUUCCUACAAAGGACCAAGUGGGUCCCGCUAAGUCUCAAUAUGAUGCAGAUAAGCAUGACCUAAAGGCUGACCUACGCGGGAGUUUACUAACAAGGCUGUUCGAGGGAGUGUAUGGUCGAUAGUGGCUGCUUUAGCUUUCCACCCAGUCCAUACCAGCCAACGGCUCUCCCUCCUAAGAUAAGGGUGACUCAACUAGAGGUCGUGUACACAACGUGCACUGCGAACUUGUUGCAGAAAGAAUGACUCGGGUUAUGCACAUGAUGCCAAAUAUAAAAGAGGUAACACAUAGGAUAAAUACUGUAAACAAAUAGCACAUAAACACUCCACAAUGAUAAAACAAUAACACAAAAUAACACGAACAAAAUAUUUAUACACCUAUAGUGCUAAACUAAGCCGAUACAACUCCAAAAAAUAAGCUCGAAUUCUGAAAUGCGUCCCUAGCAGAGUCACCAGAGCUGUCACACCCCUUAUUUUAACUCCAAAAGAUAAGAGAUUAUGUUCGAAAGGGUUCUUAUUAUUAAGUGACAACAGAAAAUGAUUUGUUUCGAAGAAGAAUUGUUUUUACAUUUGAAAUCAGAGUCGUCACUUGGCAUAAUCUGGUGUGCCAAGUCACUAUUGAAAAAUCCUUUUCAAAACCAUUUGACUCUUUAAACUAGUUUGCGAACAGAAAUUCUGGCUAAGGAAUUCCGUUGACCGAGGGAAAGGUGUUAGGCACCCCUCGAUCCCGUGGUUCGACCACGGUCGCUUGGUAGAGCGUAUCGGCUAAUUUUGACACUAUGAAUGUACAAACCACACAAAACACGUAAAAACAAUCAAACAAACAAACAAAAUAAAAAUAAAUCAAAAGUACAGUGUCCAGUCCAAUUUAUACAGUUCAAAAUAGAAAUAUACAAAAAUAAAUCCUAUCUAACCUACACUAAUACUAACUACGCUUCCGUGCUUUACCCACGCCUCGGGCCUUCAUCUCGAUCAUCCUUCGCCAACAUGAUACGUCGAGGCAUUCCCCGGUGAAUAAACACAAAUGCCUCGGGGCAUUCCCCGGCCAAAUAAUACAUUUGAUCCAAAAGCAACAAAACCAAGCCAUUCAACACAUGUCAAGCAUUCAAUAUUUCACAAUUCUUACAUUUGCCUACCCCCUAUCGUUUGCCUAACAACUAUCGACCUAAAACAUGCGACUAUCGAAUAUAACAAAAGUCAAUGCUUAUUCCGAAUCAAGCAACUAUCGAUGAAUUAACAUAAAACUAUAUUCACUUUUAACAAUUUUUGAUCUUUUUCCCCAAACUUAACCCCAAAUCAACUACGUGAUUAACAUACUUCACACCAAGAUUAACAAUCAAAUAACAACGAGUAAAAUCACCUCAACCAAAUUCAACCAAAAAUUUCAUCAUUUAAAAAUGUUUAGGAAAAGAGAAAUAAGAGAUAUAAAAUUGAACCUCAAAUUGAGCUUUAUUGAUCAAUUGACCUUUCCGAAUAGAACCGCGUCCAACGGAGCCUCAACGUCGAACCUCGACCUCGAACUCGAAGUCAGAUUUCACCCUCGAAUCGAAACUUUGAAGAGCCAAUUUCAUUGAUAACAAAGUUAGGAAAACCCGGACUUAGAAUUCCCAAUAGAACCUCAGGAGCGACCAACUCCAAAUUCGAUAUUGAAAGAUUUGAAACCCCAAAACUGGUCGUGAUGGACUGAUUGACACGAAAAGAAAAACCAAAUUCCAAACUCGGAGCAAAAAAUGAUGAACCCGCACCCGAUUUCGACAAGGAGGUGCAGAAACAGCUGAACCCGAAGCUGCUGAUCACGACAGGGAACUGAACAACGAAAACCAAGAAUUUUUUUUUUUUUUUGAGUUUCAAGCUUAGUCGAUCAGCAAGACAACCUGUAAACCAAUUCUGGCACGAAAGUUCACCGGAAAACAGUCAAGGCACUGGGUUUAUACCAUUAUUCCUUCUCCGUUUGCCUCCCCAAUCUCUCCCUACUUCGAUUCCCGUUUCUCCUCUCUUAGAUUCUCGCUAUUUUUCCCUUCCUCGUCGAUUUCUCUCUCAAACCCCCUCUCUAUCACUCAAUCUUCUCUCUUCUCUCCCGAUCUGUGCGUUUGUGUCGUAUAUCAUGUAUUCUCAAUCCAUUAUGAGUGAUGAUUAUGAAUGAUGAAAGGGAAUGAAGAGUGGUCCCUUCUGAAUGGGAAUUGUCUAUCCGGAAAAAUGGUCCCCUGUGUGUAUAUAUAUUGAUUGCCAGGCUCCUUGAAUCAGUGAUGGAUGGAUAACCGAGUAAUGAAUGGCAAUUGAGAAUUCCAGCGGGGUCCACCUGGUAUAUGUGAUGUUAUAUAUUGUUAAAGAAAAAUUACGUAGGCCCCACUCUUUUUGAGGUGUGUAAUUGAAAAAAUGGCCAGCAAAAUAUGUCAAC